rnacentral:rRNA from 1 species
UACGGAGGGUGCAAGCGUUAUCCGGAAUCACUGGGUUUAAAGGGUGCGUAGGCGGCACAAUAAGUCAGAGGUGAAAUCCCACAGCUUAACUGUGGAACUGCCUUUGAUACUGGUUGACUUGAGUUAUACGGAAGUAGAUAGAAUAUGUAGUGUAGCGGUGAAAUGCAUAGAUAUUACAUAGAAUACCGAUUGCGAAGGCAGUCUACUACGUAUAUACUGACGCUCAUGACGAAAGCGUGGGGAGCGAACAGGAUUAGAUACCCGUGUAGUCC